rnacentral:rRNA from 1 species
GGACUACACGGGUUUCUAAUCCUGUUUGCUCCCCUAGCUUUCGCAGCUCAGCGUUAGUAAUGGCCCAGAGACCUGCUUUCGCCAUAGGUAUUCCUCCUGAUAUCUACGCAUUUCACCGCUACACCAGGAAUUCCAGUCUCCCCUACCAUACUCGAGUCCGGUAGUUUCCCUUGACCUCUCCCAGUUGAGCCAGGAGCUUUCACAAAAGACUUACCGAACCGCCUACCUGCGCUUUACGCCUAGUGAUUCCGAGUAUCGCUUGCCACCUACGUAUUACCGCGGCUGCUGGCAC